GGGAAAUUUGCUGUUUGCGGGGGACAGAGUGUCCGAGAGAGCCAUAGCAGAGAAUGCGCCAUUGUUAUACUUAGAAGCAAACAAAUAGGACCAGAAGAAGCCGGGCACUUUUGGAGCCAACAAGUUAAUUAGAGACAGGCAGCAGCCUCUCUGUCCAGCAUUUAGAUCUCUGCCAGACUUCCUGGUUCGCUAUUGUGUCUGUGACAGUCCACCUUCAAAGGUGUCUCCAAACUACUGGAACUGAAAUAUUGGAAACUGCACCAAAGAGAAGCAGAUGCCUGACUUUCACAUCCACCAUCUCAUCUGACCCGACCUCCACCCUAAGUUUCUAGAGAAGAGAGUCCACCUCUCCAAACCGUUCCUUACAGAGCCCAGUGCUCGGUGCUGCGGCGCAGCAGUCGGUAACGCUCAUUGGGUUGGAUGGCGAUAAGGCGCCCGUCUUUGCCGGUGUACUCGAAGGGGUGCUCCACCAGCACGUACACGUCCCCCUCGACGUCCGCCGCCAUCGCGGCCACCGCGCUCUCCUGCAGGCAACAAGAAAAGGAGCCGCCAAGGUCAGGACUGCGCAGCCGGGAAGAGCAUCGAGUUCCGGGCUCAAAGACAAGGGUUCGAGUCCCGCUCCUGACGCCCACUGCAUUCGGCUUCAGUUUUUUCUUCUCUGAAAUGGGGACGUGGAUAAAAUCAUCUCCGUAACUCCC
rnacentral:lncRNA from 1 species